AACUUUGCAUAGUGGCAGUAUUGUAACCAAUGAGAUUUAUCCGAGGUAUGAUUAUUGCUCAUUGAAAAAUCAUAGGCUGGACACCGUGGCUCACACCUGUAAUCCUAGUACUUUGGGAGGCUGAGGCAGGCAG
ensembl:snRNA U4 U4 spliceosomal RNA